CAAUGGCACUGCCCGGUAGCUAAAUGCGGAAACGAUAAGUGCUGAAAGCAUCUAAGCACGAAACUUGCCCCGAGAUGAGUUCUCCCUGACCCUUUAAGGGUCCUGAAGGAACGUUGAAGACGACGACGUUGAUAGGCCGGGUGUGUAAGCGCAGCGAUGCGUUGAGCUAACCGGUACUAAUGAACCGUGAGGCUUAACCUUACAACGCCGAAGGUGUUU
rnacentral:rRNA from 1 species